UGCCAGACUCCUACGGGAGGCAGCAGUGGGGAAUAUUGCACAAUGGGGGAAACCCUGAUGCAGCGACGCCGCGUGAGCGAUGAAGUAUUUCGGUAUGUAAAGCUCUCUCAGCAGGGAAGAAGAUGACGGUACCUGACUAAGAAGCCCCGGCUAACUACGUGCCAGCAGCCGCGGUAAUACGUAGGGGGCAAGCGUUAUCCGGAUUUACUGGGUGUAAAGGGAGCGUAGACGGCGAUGCAAGCCAGAUGUGAAAGCCCGGGGCUCAACCCCGGGACUGCAUUUGGAACUGUGUGGCUGGAGUGUCGGAGAGGCAGGCGGAAUUCCUAGUGUAGCGGUGAAAUGCGUAGAUAUUAGGAGGAACACCAGUGGCGAAGGCGGCCUGCUGGACGAUGACUGACGUUGAGGCUCGAAAGCGUGGGGAGCAAACAGGAUUAGAUACCCUCGUACU
rnacentral:rRNA from 1 species